rnacentral:lncRNA from 1 species
GAAAUGGCUGCGAAGCAGGCCCCGGGCAGGAGUCGCUCGGGCGCAGGGAGGAAGUGAACCGGCCGGAGGUAGCGCCCGGCUGCUGGCCCCACAGUCCCGACACCUUCGGAACUCCUAACUCCUUUACUUGUCCGGCUGAAAGGUCACCAAGGAGGCCUUUGACAGAUCCUUUGAGGUGAACCUGCGUGCGGUCAUCCAGGUGUCGCAGAUUGUGGCCAGGGGCUUAAUAGCCCGGGGAGUCCCAGGGGCCAUCGUGAAUGUCUCCAGCCAGUGCUCCCAGCGGG